rnacentral:rRNA from 1 species
AUUGAACGCUGGCGGCAUGCUUUACACAUGCAAGUCGAACGGUAACAGGCCUUCGGGUGCUGACGAGUGGCGAACGGGUGAGUAAUGCAUCGGAACGUGCCCAAUCGUGGGGGAUAACGUAGCGAAAGUUACGCUAAUACCGCAUAAGCCCUGAGGGGGAAAGUGGGGGACCGCAAGGCCUCACGCGAAUGGAGCGGCCGAUGUCAGAUUAGCUAGUUGGUGGGGUAAAGGCCCACCAAGGCGACGAUCUGUAGCGGGUCUGAAAGGAUGAUCCGCCACACUGGGACUGAGACACGGCCCAGACUCCUACGGGAGGCAGCAGUGGGGAAUUUUGGACAAUGGGCGCAAGCCUGAUCCAGCAAUGCCGCGUGAGUGAUGAAGGCCUCGGUUGUAAGACGUCUUUCGUCCACCGACGACUGAUGACGGUAGUGGGAGG